GGAAAUUCAUUCCGUUUCCGGCUUUGUGCUUGUCUUCCUAUGGUGUGCUUUGAUUUCUGUCUUAGAUUUUGUGGUUUACAUGGGAAUAAUGAGGAAGGUCUGCUGGAUUUUAAUUACUGAGUGAAUUUACCAAGCGAAGGCAGAUGUGAGAAAAUGAUGAAAUCUGCUUUUCUCUUCAGUUUGGUGCUUAUGUUCAUGCACCCACAGAUACUUGAAAUGAUGUGUUGGUGAAAGAAUCUCCCUGCAGUAUUUUCCGUGAUACCCGUGAGACUUCAAAAGUGAUCUACGAGGAGUACGCCACUACGUGAUUCAUACAUGGACCGGAAUGGACGGAAAUUUUAGCUGCUAGUACCAGAAAGACUUCGACUGAGAAAACAAAAUUGCAAGAUGAAUUGUCGC